GGGGCAAUAGAGGUGGUUGUAAGGGAAUGCUUCUCCAAAGAAUCGGAGUUAGGAUAAGUGACAUAAAACCACCCUUGUUUCUAAGCCGUCAGCUGCUCCUCUUUGAUGAGAACAAUUCUUAUAACCCAUGAAGGAAGCAGACGGAGGGGCGCAUUGCGAAGGUGGUAAUUCCUUGUGUUUGUCUUUUUCCUUUCAUGAAAGGCUUUCCAAGUGGGCGUAAUGGCACAUGCCUGCAAUCCCAGCACUCAAUAAGCAAAAGCUGGAGGAUCCCUGCAGGCUGUGAGGCCAGCCUGGGCUACACAGUGAGUUCAAGGCCAGCCAGAACUAUACACAGGAAGAUAGUGCUCCCGCCCCCAUCCAUACACAACUUUCCUAGACAUAUUUCCUCUCGCUUGGUAAGCAUGCCUACCAGGACAGAAGGACACCUUUACAGAAGAGACAUUCUGGAAGGAUCUCAUCUUCUGUAUGGUGGAGAACGGUCGGUAUCAGCAGCGUAUUGGUAUGAGUGUAAUGUGCAAAUUCUGUGCCCUGCCCAGAUCUACCCGCUCAAACUGGGCCAGCCCAGGAGUCUGUUAUAUAUGACUAGGUGGGCCAAGUGCAUGCCCAACUCUGAGAAUCAUCAGAUUAGGGCUCACAGGAGGCACAAGACAAACCUGGAGUGAGACCCUGGGGCUGUCCGAGCCUAUCCUUCCCUGAAGUCCUGCUGUUCAGAGCUGAGAUUUUCUCACAGGAUAAUCCGUGUUCCUGUAUGUGGAAACAGAGGAACAGACAGAACAUCGUCCUCCGUCACUCUAUACCGGAUUUCUCUGAGACAGCAUCUUUUUCUGACCCUCAAGCCUGCUGAUUUGUCCUGACUGAUGGACUAGAAAGCCCAGGGGAAUCGAUCUUCCUGUCUCACCUCCUGGUUCUGGGAUUACAGAUGCACACUGACUUGCCACCACAACCCCGCAGCCACUUAAAAAAAAAAAAAAUCCUGAGGCUGCUGGCGUCGGAACUCAGGUCCUCAUGCUUGGAUAGUAAACAUGUUAGCAACGUUGCCACCCCCCAGCCCUGCUCAUUGUUACCAGCGUUGCCAUCACCUCCCUUCCAGCCCUGCUCAUUGCCCGCUUAUAUUUAUUUCUUCUUGGAGAAAUGUUUAUUCAAGUCCUUUGGUCACUUUAAUUUUAUUUACUUUUUUUCAGACAGGGUUUCACAAAGUUGCUGUGACUGGCCUGAAAUUCACUAGGUAUAUCAGGUUUGCCCCUAACUCUCAAGAGACACAGCUGCCUCUGCUUUUUGAGUGCACAACCUCACCUAGCCUUUUGAUAUUAUUUUUUAACUUUGUUAUUUAUUUUAUUUUAUGUUUAUUGGUGUUUUGCCUAUAUGCAUGUUCAUAUCUGAUGCCUGUGGGUACCCAAAGAGGGUGUCUGAUCCCUUAGAACUGUGAGCUGCCACGUGGGGGCUGGGAAUGGAACCCGGGUCCUCUGGAAGAGCAGCCAGUGCUCUUAACUGCUUGAGUUAUCUUUCCAGCCCCAUCUUUGACCAUUUAAAAAUGAAUAGUUUUUUUUUUCUGACCGUUACAUAUUCUGUGUGGCAUUAAAUUCUGUCAUUUAUAAAGUACUGUAUUCAUGGGAAGUCCUGGGCGCACACAGUCUCAUUUGUUUUUACCAUAACCUUGAGAUACAGGUACAACCCAAAUCCACAUUUCCCAGAAGAAGCACCAAGGCCUGGACUAGUCAACUCACAUCGCUAUGAUCACACUGCUGGUGAAAACCCUAGGCGGAGAGAUGCGUCUACCGUGUGCGACUUGUUUUCCAACAAAGAGCAGCAGAAAAAUGGCUCUGUGUCUAUAUUUUCUUAUGUCAAGAUAUGGGGGCAUAAAUCAUGAAGUUGGCAAUGGCUAGCUAUAGCUGAGCAAGAGAACUGGACUGCGGUAUCGGAGCAGGAGUUUGCUGGUUUCACUAGCGAGGAGGCCUCAAGAUGUCGGAGCCGUUGCCCCCUCUAGUGGUGGAAUCGAGACGCGUCCUGGCCGUUUUCCGGUGGCUGGUAUUCCUCUGUGGCUUGAGUGUGUUUACUUUCUCUUCGCCAAGUUGUCCCUUGUCUCUUCCAAUGCGUUGGUGACUUCACUUAGCACUUCCAGGCAAUGCAGGACGACUUUUCCUAUCUCUGGAUCCCCAAUGAGCCCUCUUUCCCCACCACUUUCCAUUAAGUAAGAAUGCUUGCCCAGCUCUCGCGAAAAGCUCAGUUCAAUCCCCAGUGUAAUCCUGGCACUUGCAUAAAAACAAAACAAAGCAAAGCAAAACAAAAAGUUCCACAUUCACAAGUUCAGGAAUUUGGAUAUGUUUGGGGGCCAUUAUUAAUAUUAAUUUCAGGGUCUGUGCGGCUGCUUGUGUGAAUGUUUUAAUGAUAAAUUACUUCAUAUCAUAAAUUGUAUGGUUGAGAGUCUAUCCUAGGAGAAAGUAUCUGUCCUGGCUACUUUUAUGUCAACUUGAUAGAAGAUUAAGUUGAGAGGAGGGAAUCCCAGCUGAGAAAAUGCCUCAUAGGAUCAGGCUUAGGUGAGCCCGUAGGGCUUUUUCUUCAUUAGUGAUCGAUGGGGAAGAACUCAGCCCACUGUGGGUGGUGUCACCCCAGGGCUGGUGGUCCUGCGUUCUAGAAGAAAGCAGGUCGAGCAGGCCCUGGGGAGCAAGCCAGUCUGCAGACCCCUCCACCGCCUCUGCAUCAGGUCCUGCCUCCAGGUUCCUGCCCUGACUUCUUUUUACAAUGAACAGUGAUGUGGAAGUGUGAGC